CGGAAGAUCCAAGCGUUAUCCGGAAUUACUGGGCGUAAAGAGUUGCGUAGGUGGCAUAGUAAGUAGAUAGUGAAAUCCUGGGGCUCAACCCUUUAAACAUUGUCUAAACUGCUAAGCUAGAGGGCGAGAGAGGUUACUAGAAUUUCUUGUGUAGGAGUGAAAUCCGUAGAUAUAAGAAGGAAUACCGAUGGCGUAGGCAGGUAACUGGCUCGUCCCUGACACUAAGGCACGAAAGCGUGGGGAGCGACCGGGAUU
rnacentral:rRNA from 1 species